CUGUGAGAGCGGGAGCGGGAGCGCGCACGGAGAGGAAACGGGGCCGGACGCGCGCCUCCCCCUGAUAGUGAGAGAGUUGAGGCGGUGUGCUGAGUUCAGCGAGUAGGCUAAUUUCGGCGUGACUCCUCUCCUCCUCCUCCUGCUCCCCGAACACGCUGUAAAACUGUAGCUGGAACCGCUGUUAAAACUUUAACAUGGUGUCUGAACAGGAGUGAUUCACCGGCUUCACUGAAAAGUCCAGAGAAAGUCGCGAAACUUCGACGCGAAACUCGAGCAGAUAUUGGACUCAACAUUUUCCAUCAUGUAUACCACAUACCCUCCUAACAUGACAGAUAUGUGGACAACACCUGCGGCUCCAGUCCAGACCAACUCAGCAGUUAUAGGAGUGGUGAUUUUGCUGGUCUUGUGUACCCUGGCCGGAUUGGCGUUCUUGCUGUACCGCUACCUGUGUCACAGCAAGGGGGCGUACCGAACAACAGGAGAGCCCGCCCCAGGAGUCGACCCGGAUCAGGUCUACCAGGACACCGUCACCGACAAUAAGAAGGAGUAUUUUAUUUGAAAGCUCAGGGCUGAACUGCACAGACUGCUGGGAGUAGUAGUGAGAUGCCGGUGAUGAAGAACGUGCUGGAUUGGUGGAUUGGAUGAGUGGUGAUUUUUGUAUUAGGAAACUCUACAGUGUCUUUUCUGCAGAAAUGUAUGACCUCUAUAGGGCCUGUGCGUGGAGGAGGCAUCGAGCUGGACUGACGAUGCAGUGAGUACCCGUUCUACGUGGUGCUGAUGUAUCCUGCUGCAUCAGGGGAAAUAUAGGAAGGAGGUGGUCAAUAUAAUCUUUAUUGAAUUUGCUGUUACCUUGCUCUGUGCUGCAGAGGUGAUCCUGUAUUCCUCAGGUUGUUUAUGAUGUUUAUGAUUCUGGAAAACUGUUAAUCACUUGUUCACUACAUUUACCUGACACCUUAUCCAUUCAGUUAUGGGUUGUGACACACCUGUCAACAAUGUUAAUUAGGGCUGCAGCGAUUAAUCGUCAGUGUUGAUUAUAAAAAUGGGUUGAUUACCAAUUGCAGUGUUGAAUAAUCGUUAAUUUGCAAUCGCAAUGCUCUACACAAAGUGCUGGGGUUCAGAAAAACAAUGAGGGCGUUUAAAUAGUCAUUACCACUGGAAGCAAAGAUGGAGUGCUUGUCAGAAUUAACAAUUAACUAAUUGACUAAUCAGAAGAAUAUUCGACGGAUUAGUCGACUUCCAAAAUAAUCGUAAGUUGCAGCCCUACUGUUUAUUUAAUUUAUAGGCUUUAGUGUGUCUAAUGAUUUCUGUUCAAUGCAUAUCCUACAGCAGCUUCAUAAACAUGUACGUAUACAACUACAAAACAUAUAUUCAUAAACAUUUUAUAUAUAUAUAUAUAUAUAUAUAUAUAUAUAUAUAUAUAUAUAUAUAUAUAUAUAUAUAUAUAUAUAUAUAUAUAUAUAUAUUUAUCAUAUGGGGUUCAGCUGGCCUGGUAAAUUGCUAAGUAUACAUAUUAUCCACUGACAUGAGUUACAUUGUUUUUUUUAAACUGUUUUUAAUUUGUACUCAUUUACCAAAAUAAGUUAUCAUCACUACAAUUAAAAUAAUCAACACCAAAAAGCAUUCAGAGGCUAUGCAACAUUCUAUCUUACAAUUCUUUUACAAUUUAUUUUUUAUAUAUAUUUUUGAAACCCCAGGGUCUAAGAAUUCUUUGCCACCCAGGUAUUUUCUGUGUUAACGUUUUAUAUUAUAGUGUUUGCAGUAUGUUACUCUGAAAUGGUCAAUGCUGACAUUGUUACUCGACGCCCAGCCUUUUUGUGUUCCUUGAAAAAUUUGAUUUUUUUCUGUUUUUUUAAGGAAAUAUAGUUUAAACAUGAAGUUUGUUACACUGAAGGACAUAAGAAUAAUUAAGCUGUACUGCAGUCAGAUUGCACUGUUCUAAGUAGCCAUAAACAUGGAAAUGCAUGAUUUACACUUCACACAGAUUGUAUCUUAUGUUUUUUUUCUUCUUCAGGGUAAAACCAUUGCUAUUGUUACAUAAACUUGAAUAUACUUGGAA